CAUUGAAGCCCAUUUCCAAUGUCCCUAAAACCCGGGCGCACAAAUACAGGACAAUCGCUAAUAUGGCAUGGACAUGUAUUUCUUUGGAACUGAGUAAACAACUGUAUUCAAAAUCUUAAUUUACAAGAUUUCUGAAACGAUUUGCUCAGGAAUUGAUUGAAAGCCUAUGAUAUUGUGCACUGACGCACACCUCCCCUUGGAACCUGAAAAGAAAAAUGGUGAGUCGGUAGAUGUCACUCACUUCCAUCAACACCUCUGUCUGACGGCUGACAGCCUGUGACUGAUUUAUAAACAGAUUUCAUCUUUUGAUUUCACCCAUGACCAACCCACACACACUCAAUAAAACAAACUCUCCCACACAAAUGCAAACACACACACACACACACUCUCUCUCUCUU